rnacentral:tRNA from 1 species
GGAAGAGUCGCUACAGGAAAGGCAAAAUAUUUGCUAAAUAUUGUGUAAAACACCAAGAUGUUCGAAUCAUCUCUUUUCCG